rnacentral:tRNA from 1 species
GGAGCCAUGGCUCAAUGGUAGAGCAUCUGCUUGUCAUCCAGAAAGUUCCAGGUUCAAUUCUGUGCAUCUCCA